CAAAAGCUUGGUCCUGACUUUAUUAUCAGCUUCUACUAAAUUUACACAUGCAAGCAUCCACCCCCCUGUGAGAAUGCCCUCAGUCCCCUGCUUGGAAAUGAGGAGCGGACAUCAGGCUCAUAACAUCUUUAGCCCAAAACGUCUUGCUAAGCCACACCCUCAAGGGAACUCAGCAGUGAUAAACAUUAAGCCAUGAGCGAAAGCUCGACUUAGUAAAGGUAUUUAGGGCCGGUAAAACUCGUGCCAGCCACCGCGGUUAUACGAGAGGCCCGAGUUGAUGAACAUCGGCGUAAAGUGUGGUUAGGACUUCCCCAAUAUAAAGUGAAACACCCCCAAGACUGUUAUACGCUCCCGGGGGCAGGAAGCCCAUCAGCGAAAGUGACUUUAGAUCUCCGACCCCACGAUAGCUGUGAUACAAACUGGGAUUAGAUACCCCAUUAUGCUUAAGCUGUAAACUUUGAUAGAAUUUACAAAUCUCUAUCCGCCUGGGAACUACGAGCGCUAGCUUAAAACCCAAAGGACUUGGCGGUGCUUCAGACCCCCCUAGAGGAGCCUGCCCUAGAACCGAUGAUCCCCGUUUAACCUCACCACUCCUUGUUUCUCCCGCCUAUAUACCGCCGUCGCCAGCCUACCCUUUAAAGGUCCUAAAGUAGGCAAAAUUAGUAUUUCUAAAAACGUCAGGUCGAGGUGUAGCGAAUGGAGUGGGAAGAGAUGGGCUACAUUCUCUGGAUCAGAGAAUAACGGAGAGAGCUCUGAAACGAGUUCCUGAAGGAGGAUUUAGCAGUAAGCACAAGAACAGAGAGCUUGGCUGAAAUCGGCUCUGAAGCGCGUACACACCGCCCGUCACUCUCCCCGAACACCUUUUUAUUUGUACCUAAAAACUUUUGAUUUUAAGGGGAGGCAAGUCGUAACAUGGUAAGUGUACCGGAAGGUGCACUUGGAAAAA
rnacentral:ncRNA from 1 species